CUACGGGACGCUCCAGUCGAGAAUCAUUCGCAAUGGGCGCAAGCCUGACGAUGCGACGCCGUGUGAACGAAGAAGGCCUUCGGGUUGUAAAGUUCUUUCGCCUGGGAACAAGAGAAGCUUUUGAAUAAAAAGUUAUUUGAGGGUACCAAGUAAAGAAGCGCCGGCUAACUCCGUGCCAGCAGCUGCGGUAAUACGGAGGGCGAAAGCAUUAAUCGGAUUUAUUGGGCGUAAAGAGCGCGUAGGCGGUUUUGCAAGUCAGAUAUGAAAUUUCGGAGCUCAACUCCGAAGCUGUGUUUGAAACUGCAAUACUUGAGGAUAGACGGAGAAAAUGGAAUUUCACGUGUAGCGGUGAAAUGCGUAGAUAUGUGAAAGAAGACCGGUGGCGAAGGCGAUUUUCUAGUCUAUAACUGACGCUGAGGCGCGAAAGCAAGGGGAGCAAACAGGAUUAGAUACCCUCGUAGUC
rnacentral:rRNA from 1 species